rnacentral:rRNA from 1 species
AAUGAACGUUGGCGGCGUGGAUUAGGCAUGCAAGUCGCGCGACAAGGAACCUUCGGGUUCUGGAGGAGCGGCAAACGGGGUAGUAAGGCAUCGGAACGUACCCUCUUGUUGGGAAUAGCCGCGGGAAACUGCGAGUAAUGCCCAAUAAUCCCUACGGGGCAAAGGUCCGCCGCAGGAGGAGCGGCCGAUGUGAUACCAGCUAGUUGGUGAGGUAAUGGCUCACCAAGGCUUAGACGUCUAGGGGGUGUGAGAGCAUGGCCCCCCACCACUGGGACGUGAGAUACUGCCCAGANACCUACGGGUGGGCUGCAGUCGAG